UGACUGGUGUUAUUUUGUGUACAUGCCACACU
rnacentral:piRNA from 1 species